GCGGGCGGUACUCACAUGACAAUUUUCGAGCCGGAAGACGAACGGCGGUUGCCUGUUCGGCGACGAAGCCAAGUCAAGACGCAGUUCAGUGUUCAGUCAGUUGAAAGCUGGUUGAUGUGAAACGCGGGAGUGGACGCGGCUGUUGGACUGCUUUAUUACGACGCAAAGGCAGAGGUUUCGUCUUUCGUGAAAGCGUUUCUGGGUGCGGUCCUUACUGGAACAAGUGACGGCUGGCGUUAAUAAGCAUGCGGUGAGGGAAACAGAAGGCUCCGAGAAGUAAACGCUUUCGAGGUAGAGAGUGUCAUCCAGUCAUACCUCUGGCACGCAAACUGAGUGUA